rnacentral:lncRNA from 1 species
GUACCGAUACAGCGAACACAGCCUAAUACUCUUCGAAAAUCAUGGUAAAGGCCAUCCUAUCAUAGGAGACUAUGGUGGAAGGGAUGCCUACAUGAAUCAAGAGGAAGAACCACGAAAAAUUUAUCGAUUUUGAAAACCAUUUCCAAAACAAGUUAACCCUAAAUUGUUAGAUCUAAAAUUAAGAUGCUAAACGAUCUUGAAAAGGUGUUUUCAAUUAGUUUUAAUCUUCUUUUUAGAUCUGAUUUACAUGUAUAUGAUAUGUGCUUAGUUAGUUUUAGAUUUGAAUUUUCAUAUAUGCGAUAUAUGAUAGUUAAUUCUAGAUCUAAAAUAAAUAUAUAUGUAAUAUAUGACAUUAAGUUUAGAUCUGAAAUUAUUUCGAGAUCAUAAGCCAUAUUCAUGCACUUAAACCUAAUCAAAAAAAUUAUUUUUAAAAUCUAAAUUUUAGAUUGUGCAUGAGGGUAUGGAUUGAACAAUUAGAUCUAGUGAUUGAACUACAAUUAGGGUUUUUGAUUAGAUCAGAUUAAAUCCUCAUCGAUUUGAGUAGUCGAAUCGAAUCAAUAGUUGAUUAGGAUUAGAUUAAAGGGGCUCAAGAUCGAGCUUACUUAUAGCUGGUCACAUCGAUUCACAUUUUGAUGCAAACUGAUUAACUUAAGAUCGAAUUGGCUCAGUGGAUCGAGCCUGAGUAGCUAGACUGACCCAUUCAAUUUUAAUUGACUGAUUGGUGUCUAAGACAAGUCUCGACCGAUGAUUUUUAAUUGGGAGCAUGCUUACCUAGUCAUUCCGAUGGUAUCUAAGGCAAGCAUCGGCUAUCCUCCUAUCAAUCUCACUUACCUAACUAAUCUGGUCGAUUAAAUUUUGCAUAAGGUUGCUUAGUCAUUCAUGUUCACCAAUGUCGACUAGGAUCGUCAGAUAUGAGAUGUGCUAACCUGAUCCUGACUAAUCAGACAUGAGAUGUGCUAAACUAAAUCAAGUUAAUCACACAUGAGAUGUGCUGAACUAAACCAGAUUAAUCAGACAUAAGAUGUGCUGACCUAAACUAGAUUAGUCAGACAUAAGAUGUGCUAAUCUGAACUAGAUUAGCCAUUUACAUUAGAUGUAUAUGACUACGUAGAAGAGACUUAAAUCAAAUCUCCCCACAAAUAUUAAGUCCUAGAUCUUCCACUGUUGUAGGAGUGCGGACGUCUAACUGGUGUUGAUUGUUCUCAGCUAGUUAAAAUGGUUCAGUUGCAUCGAAAAAAUGCAACCAUCCUAUUAACAUGAGAUGUUGUUAGGUACUGAUGGGGUUAGGCUCAAUAAACGAGCAUAUUGACGGAUCUAAUGAUGGAUUUACCUAUGCGUUGAACGAUGAGUCUAACUUAACUAAAGAUUGGACCAAUAAAUGGGCACGUUGAGGCUCUAUGACUUAAAGACCAAUCGCUAUAUCAUGCUUGAGAAUCAUUGGACAAUUAGUUGUCCACUCAUCGAUAUAGCGUAACCUAAUAAUCGAGCAUGAUGAGGUGCACGUAUAUCAAUGGGACCGCAAUAUCCAUUAGGAACCCUAGUCGCAUAAGGAUUUCUGCAUCUCCACAGGAGAGUGUGAAAGAUCUAAAAAAUAAUGAGAUAGUAUUUAUUUUUUAAAGUCCCUAGAACAAAUAGUGAUUAAGUACAAAUAUCUAAUUAGAAUCCUCUUCUCUCUUUAGUUCAUAACUCAGCUUCAAACCUCCUUAACCCGAUUUGUAGGGUUCAACCGAUUGACCAGGAUAAACUACAAACGACUGGCUUAGGAACUUCAGAAUAGUUUUGAACUCAAAAAAGAUUAGGAUAUGUUCUAGACCAAGAUUUUUUGUUACCAAAUCGUCCAACAACUGAAACGUUCAGCACUUAAUAAAUGGACGGAUGACGGCAAUUAGGUUAAGUGCUAUAUCUUGGCCUCAAGGCCCAACAUGAGGAUAUCAAGACUUUAGGACUAUGAUAACUCACCUGCAAGAGUUGUAUGGUGAGCAGAGCUAGACUGCACUCGGACAGUCCGUCCAUGAUCAUUG